rnacentral:misc_RNA from 1 species
ACUCGCUCGAGACCGCGCCUGACUAUGCUCAUGAGACUCGAAACUCGCUGUGCAUGACCGUGGACACCAUCUCGCCGCUUCCCACGCCCAUCCAUCGACCUUGCUCCGCCCGCAAACUUUCCUUCACCUCCUCGCCUCGCAACUCGCUACAGUUGUCGACGGACCUUGUACGCCCGUUCAUUCGUUCCCUUAGCUUCCGACAUAGCCGCCUUCCUUGCUGUUGAGCUUCCACAUCGUUCGACAAGCUAGACAACGUCUGCUUUGAGCGCCUCAGCGCCCGCGGGAGACUCCCCUCAGCGCGCCUCGCUGUCUCCCCCAACCUUUGCUUUCGUCGACUUCGACUCCCUCGCUCUCGCAGCACGCGCCUCCUUCAGCAGGAUUAACCAAACAGAUCAGAACCGCUAAUCUUGAGGCAGCAGCCAUCGCACUGGUCGGAUCCCCAGCUCCGGCUGGGUCCGGCGUAGGGUGGCCGCCGCUCAUGAAGCGUAAUCUCAGAUAGAUGACACCUGAAGGAGGCCGUGUUCACUUUCUACGCUGUCCUUACAGCACAUCGCCUUGUUUCGC